AGUACAGCUAUGCUGCUUCUUUUGGGGAGGGGGAAGUGGUUUGGGAGGGACAGGUGUUAACGUGGGUGGGGCAGGUGUGGGGGCGGGGCAGGCUAGGUGUUGGGGCGGGGCAGGGGCAGAUGGUUGGGCAGGGCAGGGGCAGGUGUUGGGGCAGGGCAAAACACUUUAGCCCCUCCCUGCUUACCUCCAGUGAGCCCACGGACAGGCUGGUGUGGGUGUGGCCCAGUUUCCGCGGGAGGGUACGAGUGCGGUGGGCGG